rnacentral:rRNA from 1 species
GAUGAACGCUAGCUACAGGCUUAACACAUGCAAGUCGAGGGGCAGCAUUUCAGUUUGCUUGCAAACUGGAGAUGGCGACCGACGCACGGGUGAGUAACACGUAUCCAACCUGCCGAUAACUCGGGGAUAGCCUUUCGAAAGAAAGAUUAAUACCCGAUGGUAUAAUCAGACCGCAUGGUCUUGUUAUUAAAGAAUUUCGGUUAUCGAUGGGGAUGCGUUCCAUUAGGCAGUUGGUGAGGUAACGGCUCACCAAACCUUCGAUGGAUAGGGGUUCUGAGAGGAAGGUCCCCCACAUUGGAACUGAGACACGGUCCAAACUCCUACGGGAGGCAGCAGUGAGGAAUAUUGGUCAAUGGGCGCAGGCCUGAACCAGCCAAGUAGCGUGAAGGAUGACUGCCCUAUGGGUUGUAAACUUCUUUUAUAUGGGAAUAAAGUUUUCCACGUGUGGAAUUUUGUAUGUACCAUAUGAAUAAGGAUCGGCUAACUCCGUGCCAGCAGCCGCGGUAAUACGGAGGAUCCGAGCGUUAUCCGGAUUUAUUGGGUUUAAAGGGAGCAUAGGUGGACAGUUAAGUCAGUUGUGAAAGUUUGCGGCUCAACCGUAAAAUUGCAGUUGAUACUGGCUGUCUUGAGUACAGUAGAGGUGGGCGGAAUUCGUGGUGUAGCGGUGAAAUGCUUAGAUAUCACGAAGAACUCCGAUUGCGAAGGCAGCUCACUGGACUGCAACUGACACUGAUGCUCGAAAGUGUGGGUAUCAAACAGGAUUAGAUACCCUGGUAGUCCACACAGUAAACGAUGAAUACUCGCUGUUUGCGAUAUACAGUAAGCGGCCAAGCGAAAGCAUUAAGUAUUCCACCUGGGGAGUACGCCGGCAACGGUGAAACUCAAAGGAAUUGACGGGGGCCCGCACAAGCGGAGGAACAUGUGGUUUAAUUCGAUGAUACGCGAGGAACCUUACCCGGGCUUAAAUUGCAUUUGAAUAUAUUGGAAACAGUAUAGCCGUAAGGCAAAUGUGAAGGUGCUGCAUGGUUGUCGUCAGCUCGUGCCGUGAGGUGUCGGCUUAAGUGCCAUAACGAGCGCAACCCUUAUCUUUAGUUACUAACAGGUCAUGCUGAGGACUCUAGAGAGACUGCCGUCGUAAGAUGUGAGGAAGGUGGGGAUGACGUCAAAUCAGCACGGCCCUUACGUCCGGGGCUACACACGUGUUACAAAUGGGGGGUACAGAAGGCAGCUACCUGGUGACAGGAUGCUAAUCCCAAAAGCCUCUCUCAGUUCGGAUCGAAGUCUGCAAACCCGACUUCGUGAAAGCUGGAUUCGCUAGUAAUCGCGCAUUCAGCCAUGGCGCGGGAAAUCGUUCCCGGGCCU